rnacentral:misc_RNA from 1 species
AACUUUUAGCAAUGGAUCACACUGAUACAAUUGCUUCAACGGCAAAUCGGUGUCCUGAAUCUGGUAAGACCCGCUCUGCAUGUCCUCGGAAUCUUCCGAUGAGUCGGUCACGAUCGGGCUUCCCUUCCUCGCUCGCACCCGGAACUGUCCCGACGAUGGCUCGUAGUUCGAGUACACGAAACAACGCCCCACGCAUGCCCGGUCCGCCACAUGUCCGAUGAACUCGAUCCGCCAGCUCGGAUCUGCCUGGAUCGUGGCGAUUAUUCGCGUUCCGUAAGGCAGCGUAGACAACGUCACUUCCGCGUUGGCUUCGAGCCGGUUCAGCAUGGCGGUAUCCCGGUAUAGCAGGCCAAAAAACACGAUUGCAACUACCCCGAACAUGGCCGCUUGCCACUUAAGCAUAUCAAUAAGCGGAGGCU